AUUAAACUUAUUUUAAACUCGUGGUUUUUUAAAGGUGAAAUUUGUAGGUUUAUCGUCAGUACAUUGUUAUAAUAGGUAAUCAAUAGUUGGACAUUUUAAGGAAAAUAAAAAAAUGAAAAACACUAUAAUUGGAUACAUGGAUGCAACCGAUACAUUAGUGAGGAAAAGUGACAAAAACAUUAAGAGGAUUUUAUAUUAUGCCAGUUUUAAAUGUACUAGUACCUAGAAAUUCAAGUGCUACUUGUCCGGUUCUUGAAUUGAUCAGUUUAGCGAAGGACAGCAACAAACACCAGACUACUUGAACUGGUGUUAUAAAGUAUUGGUUGAAAGCAUUUAUUGGUCAAAUGUUAAAGUGAUAAAUGUUUGUCAUUAUACAAAAAUAAUAAUGCAUUGUGUUUAUAAAUAUUAUCAUCUAGAAUCCAACAGUGGCAAGGCUGGGAAAUUAUAAAAAAACUAUAUUAUCGAUUACUAUAUAUGUAUACUGUUUAACGAAGUAACUUUAGAAGAUAUAUAAAAAUGGUUCAUACAAAUUUGCCUUCAUACUGUUGUCUCCCAAUGAAACUGAAGAAAUUAAAUGUCAGAUUAUUACUAUGAAAACCUACUCUAAUUUUGAUUAUCAGUCACCUGACAAAUCAGCUCAUGAAGAUAAUUUGGGUGAACUGUAUAAGUUCCUAUGCGUAUCCGAAUUUGAUAUUUCUAUGAUGUAUUACAAAUUUUAGUCAUUAAAAGAAUGAAAGUGAUGACAAAAGGUCAAGAAAAGCAAAAACAAACCAAUUGAGCAAAUAAAUGUAUACUCUUCUUUUCACUUUGGACACCUUUUGUGAAUAACAAUGUUAAAACAGAGUUUAAAAUCGCCAGAGUAAUAUUAUGUUCGAAUCUUGGUUCAAAACUGUUAAAAGCAACAUGUUACAUGGUGAUCGCAGACUAAAUGUAGCAGAUUUUUGAGAUUGACUAGAGAACGUAUACUCAAUAUUCAAAAACAAAUAACUUAGAAAAUGUGGAAACUAGGUGUAUGCAAGUGCUCAAUUCUGAUAAUGAAUGAAAGAUCCAGAACCUAGAUAAUUCAAAAGUUGUUGAAAAAAUUACAAAAGGAAAUACUGAGUUUAUAUAAUUUUAACGCAACAGAAAAUUGAGGAAAAAAGAAAAAUCACAUAAACCCCUAUCUAAGCAUAAGCCAUUUAAAUUACAAAAAUCUAUUGGCAAUGAGAAGAAUCAAAAAACAUUUUGCAGGAAUGUACGAAUAUGUUAAAUUUUAACAAAAAAAGUUUUAUUAUGAAAAUUAAAUUUAACUAAAGUGUGUGGGCAUGAACAAUUUGACUUCAACAACUGGUUAUUUUAAAUCUAUUCAAUCGAACUGCCAGGUUAGAAAAUUACUAUAAAAAUAGUCUUCCUAAGGAUUUAACAUACUACACACUUAGAAAGUGGUCUGGUAAAAAUAGUAAUAAGUAUUAUUUAGUUGGAACAUACAAUUAAAUAAAGAAUGACUUAAAUUCAGAUAUCCUAGUACUUAGACAUUGCAGCCUUUGACAAAUUAACAGAAAACCUUUGACUGUGUUAACUUUAUCAAUAACUUUGUUACCAAUAUCUGUUUGGCAACGUAUGCUAAACAAUUUGGUAUAAUAUAUAUAUAUAAAGCUGACAAAUUAUCAUUACUUAGUUAAGCAGAAAUUAUGCAUAUUACUUGUAUUUUGCUUAAGAGUUAAAACCUGUUUAAUAUACAUUUAUAUACAUGUUCAUUGUGUGGUACUGAAUUAAAUUCCUAAAGAACAGAAUUGAAGAUGAUGAAAACACCGAUUACUUCUGUUUUUAUGACAUAAGUAAAAGUAAUAAUCAUGAUUCAGUAGAUCAUGAUUGAAUGGAAAUUCUUGAGAUAUGCCAACUUUAAAUUGUAUAUCUCUUGUUAACCUAUUGCAUCAUAACUUGGUUUGGUUUCUUUGGCGGAGCGAAUAUGUAUUUCAGGUAUUAAGCUCUUGAAUGGAUUAUUACGAGAUAAUAUUAACUCACCUGAUUCACUUUCCUUAUUAUGUUUUAAAGUAGGUACUUCAACAAUCUUUUGCUCUGGACACCUAUUAUCAUAGGAACAUCUAGAUGAUUCCGUAUUAUAUUGAACAAACCAUGGCAAAAAAUAUUGUCUUCGAUGAAGUAGUCGAAGAAUUUAAAAAAAAAUAAAUAGUUUGUAUGAUCACUGUCUAGUUUUAUAAAUAGUCUACUGUAAUCUUUUUAUAAUAUUCUCUUAAUUUAAAUCAAUUAUAUCAAAAAUAUAUAUUUUUUUGUUUGAAUUUUAUUAAUGAUUGCUUAAGAUAUAACAGAAUGCUAUGCAAAUAAAAG